UAACCUGCCCAAGAGAUCGGGAUAACACCUGGAAACAGAUGCUAAUACCGGAUAACAACAGAUGAUGCCUAUCAACUGUUUAAAAGAUGGUUCUGCUAUCACUCUUGGAUGGACCUGCGGUGCAUUAGCUAGUUGGUAGGGUAACGGCCUACCAAGGCGAUGAUGCAUAGCCGAGUUGAGAGACUGAUCGGCCACAUUGGGACUGAGACACGGCCCAAACUCCUACGGGAGGCAGCAGUUU
rnacentral:rRNA from 1 species